GGUCACUAGUUCCCCUAGGUCCUCAUGGGCCCGGCGGCGCCAUGUUUCAAGGGCAGCGCGGGUGGUUCUGUGGCAGCGUUGGCCAGGACCUGAGGCAGUUCUGGGUGGCCGAAGGAGGGACGGUCAGUGAGGCGGACGCUGCCGACUUCCUGUUCAGCUGCAACGCCUCGCACCCCGACACGCUGAGAAUUUAUCAGAGCCUUGAUUACAUAGAAGAUAAUGCUACAGUUUUUCAUGCCUGCUAUCUCUCUGCAGUAGCCAAUGCUGAAAUAAAAAACUCAGUGGUUUUAGGUCAUUUUGUUCUUCCUCCUGCAUGCCUGCAAAAAGAAAUAAGAAGAAAAAUUGGUAGUUUUAUUUGGGAACAAGAAGAAUCUCUGAUAGAAAAGCGUGAUGAAGUUACAUCAAAUGAAAUAAAUACCUUUAAGGAGAACAGUGAACUAGCCACAGAGAAUGAAAAAGAAUCACCAGAAAGAACAGAAAAUAAUUUUUUAAGGACUGCGGUUAUAGAAAAGCAGAUGUACUUCCCUCUUCAGGAUUAUCCAGUGAACAACAUGGUAACAGUUUAUCUUACACAGGCACCCAGCUAUUAGGCUAAGAUCAUGAACAUGAAGCGUAGCAACAGUGCUUCUGGCGCUCAAAAGUUAUGCACACUACCAACUCCCCAGGAUGAAAGUAAUCACUAUGUAUGCAAAUACUCUAAUAAAAAUAAGAAUUAAAAAGGAGAUCUAAUAAAGUAAAUGACCAGCUACUUGGGAAGGUUACAUAUCAGUUGAUGC